rnacentral:rRNA from 1 species
CUCAGGCCAAACGCCGGCCGCCUGCCUACAACAUGCAAGUCCAAACGAAAGGGCCUUACCUUUUUCUGUGGGGGUGCCUCAGUGGCCAACCGGUGAGUCAACACUGGGUUGAUCUGCCCGCCACUUGGGAUAAGCCUCGGGAAAACUGGGUUUAAUACCGGAUAGGACCAUGGUUUAGUGUCUCAUGGUGGAAAAAAUUAUUGUUUUUGGUCGCAGGAUGAGCUUCCGGCCUAUCAGCUUCGUUGGUGGGGUAAUGGCCUACCAAGGCGUUCACGGGUAGCCGGCCUGAGAGGGUGGACGGCCACAUUGGGACUGAGAUACGGCCCAGACUCCUACGGGAGGCAGCAGUGGGGAAAUAUUUGCACAAUGGGCGCAAGCCUGAUGCAGCCACCCUCCCUGGGGGAAGACGGCCUUCGGGUUUGUAAACUCCUUUCGUUAGGGACGAAGCCGCACCUGUUUUGGGUGUGGUGACGGUACCUUUUGUUAAGAAGCACCGGCUAACUACGUGCCAGCAGCCGCGGUAAUACGUAGGGUGCGAGCGUUGUCCGGAAUUACUGGGCGUAAAGAGCUCGUAGGUGGUUUGUUGCGUCGUCUGUGAAAUUCCGGGGCUUAACUUCGGGGUGGCAGGCGAUACGGGCAUAACUAGAGUGCUGUAGGGGAGACUGGAAUUCCUGGUGUAGCGGUGGAAUGCGCAGAUAUCAGGAGGAACACCGAUGGCGAAGGCAGGUCUCUGGGCAGUAACUGACGCUGAGGAGCGAAAGCAUGGGGAGCGAACAGGAUUAGAUACCCUGGUAGUCCAUGCUGUAAACGGUGGGCGUUAGGUGUGGGGACCGGUUUGGUUUCUGUGCCGUAGCUAACGCAUUAAGCGCCCCGCCUGGGGAGUACGGCCGCAAGGCUAAAACUCAAAGGAAUUGACGGGGGCCCGCACAAGCGGCGGAGCAUGUGGAUUAAUUCGAUGCAACGCGAAGAACCUUACCUGGGUUUGACAUGCACCAGACGGUUGUAGAGAUACGUACCUCCCUUUGUGGUUGGUGUGCAGGUGGUGCAUGGUUGUCGUCAGCUCGUGUCGUGAGAUGUUGGGUUAAGUCCCGCAACGAGCGCAACCCUUGUCUUAUGUUGCCAGCACGUUUGGGUGGGGACUCAUGAGAGACUGCCGGGGUUAACUCGGAGGAAGGUGGGGAUGACGUCAAAUCAUCAUGCCCUUUAUGCCCAGGGCUUCACACAUGCUACAAUGGUUAGUACAACGCGCUGCGAGCCUGUGAGGGUGAGCGAAUCGCUGAAAGCUAAUCUCAGUUCGGAUUGGGGUCUGCAACUCGACCCCAUGAAGUCGGAGUCGCUAGUAAUCGCAGAUCAGCAAUGCUGCGGUGAAUACGUUCCCGGGCCUUGUACACACCGCCCGUC